rnacentral:rRNA from 1 species
UACGAAGGGGGCUAGCGUUGCUCGGAAUCACUGGGCGUAAAGCGCACGUAGGCGGAUUGUUAAGUCAGGGGUGAAAUCCUGGAGCUCAACUCCAGAACUGCCUUUGAUACUGGCGAUCUUGAGUCCGGGAGAGGUGAGUGGAACUCCGAGUGUAGAGGUGAAAUUCGUAGAUAUUGGGAAGAACACCGGUGGCGAAGGCGGCCAUCUGGACCGCAACUGACGCUGAGGCGCGAAAGCGUGGGGAGCAAACAGG